CAGAGGUCCCAAGCGUUGUUCGGAUUCACUGGGCGUAAAGGGUGCGUAGGUGGUAGGGUAAGUCGGAUGUGAAAUCUCCGAGCUCAACUCGGAAAUGGCAUUGGAAACUACCUGCUAGAGGGUCGGAGGGGGGGACUGGAAUACUUGGUGUAGCAGUGAAAUGCGUAGAUAUCAAGUGGAACACCAGAGGCGAAGGCGAGUCCCUGGACGACUCCUGACACUGAGGCACGAAAGCUAGGGGAGCAAACAGGAUUAGAUACCCUGGUAGUCCUAGCCGUAAACGGUGCACGUUUGCUGUAAAAGGAAUCGACCCCUUUUGUGGCGUAGCCAACGCGUUAAACGUGCCGCCUGGGAAGUACGGUCGCAAGAUUA
rnacentral:rRNA from 1 species